GUCUGCUCUGUUUUCAUACAGUGUUGACCACAUUGGAAAGGACAGGGACAAACCAGGACUGCUGAAAUAUGCGUGUGAUCUCACAUUGAACCAAGAAACAGCCCACAGAUGUCUUGCUCUGUCAGAGGAAAACCGGAAAGUCACAGUUAUGAGACAGGAACAGCCAUGUCCUGAUAACCCUGAGAGAUUUGACUAUUGGUCCCAGGUUCUGUGCAGAGAGGAGCUGACUGGGCGAUGUUACUGGGAGGCUGAGUGGAGUGGGAAAUGGGUAUCUGUUGGAGUCGCCUAUA